AGUGUGUGUCAUAGUAAAGAUGGCAACUACAAUUAUGUAUAUUUAUAGCAAUAAAACUUCAGUAAAAAAAAAGAUAUAUUAAAUUUGUAUUUCCUGUAAAAUCUACAUCUGUUUAUUAUAAUUUACAUUAUAUAAUGCUUUGAAUGAAAAAAAAAAAAACCAGGGGCAGAUCAGAUUCAAGCCAAUGUUAAAAGGGAACAUCCAACCAUAUGUCCUAAUUCUAAAGUAUAAUUUGAUUGUCAACCCCAAGAACCAAUCACUUUGUAAGAUUGUCAAUAUUCAGACACA
rnacentral:lncRNA from 1 species